rnacentral:rRNA from 1 species
CUGCUGCCUCCCGUAGGAGUCUGGGCCGUAUCUCAGUCCCAAUGUGGCCGGUUCAACCUCUCAGUCCGGCUACUGAUCGUCGACUUGGUAAGCCGUUACCUUACCAACUAUCUAAUCAGACGCAAGGCCAUCUUUUAGCGAAUUGCUCCUUUCCCACUAUUAUCAUGUGAUAACUAUGGCAUAUGCGGUAUUAGCAAUGAUUUCUCAUUGUUAUUCCCCUCUAAAAGGCAGGUUCCUUACGCGUUACUCAA